AGUGAACGCUGGCGGUAGGCCUAACACAUGCAAGUCGAACGGCAGCACAGUAAGAGCUUGCUCUUACGGGUGGCGAGUGGCGGACGGGUGAGGAAUAAAUCGGAAUCUACUUUUUCGUGGGGGAUAACGUAGGGAAACUUACGCUAAUACCGCAUACGACCUACGGGUGAAAGCAGGGGAUCUUCGGACCUUGCGCGAUUGAAUGAGCCGAUGUCGGAUUAGCUAGUUGGCGGGGUAAAGGCCCACCAAGGCGACGAUCCGUAGCUGGUCUGAGAGGAUGAUCAGCCACACUGGAACUGAGACACGGUCCAGACUCCUACGGGAGGCAGCAGUGGGGAAUUUUGGACAAUGGGCGCAAGCCUGAUCCAGCCAUACCGCGUGGGGGAAGAAGGCCUUCGGGUUGUAAAGCCCUUUUGUUGGGAAAGAAAAGCAGCAGGUUAAUACCCCGCUGUUCUGACGGUACCCAAAGAAUAAGCACCGGCUAACUUCGUG
rnacentral:rRNA from 1 species